rnacentral:rRNA from 1 species
AUGUCUACUAGUUGUCGGGUCUUAUUGACUUGGUAACGCAGCUAACGCGUGAAGUAGACCGCCUGGGGAGUACGGUCGCAAGAUUAAAACUCAAAGGAAUUGACGGGGACCCGCACAAGCGGUGGAUGAUGUGGAUUAAUUCGAUGCAACGCGAAAAACCUUACCUACCCUUGACAUGUACAGAAUCCCGAAGAGAUUUGGGAGUGUUCGAAAGAAAACUGUAACACAGGUGCUGCAUGGCUGUCGUCAGCUCGUGUCGUGAGAUGUUGGGUUAAGUCCCGCAACGAGCGCAACCCUUGUCAUUAGUUGCUACGAAAGGGCACUCUAAUGAGACUGCCGGUGACAAACCGGAGGAAGGUGGGGAUGACGUCAAGUCCUCAUGGCCCUUAUGGGUAGGGCUUCACACGUCAUACAAUGGUACAUACAGAGGGCCGCCAACCCGCGAGGGGGAGCUAAUCCCAGAAAGUGUAUCGUAGUCCGGAUUGUAGUCUGCAACUCGACUACAUGAAGUUGGAAUCGCUAGUAAUCGCGGAUCAGCAUGUCGCGGUGAAUACGUUCCCGGGUCUUGCACUCCCCGCCCGUCAAAA